UCGAGAAUUUUUCUCAAUGGGGGAAACCCUGAAGGAGCGACGCCGCGUGGAGGAUGAAGGUUUUCGGAUUGUAAACUCCUGUCAUCCGGGAGCAAUGCUAUCUCAUUAACUGUGGGAUAGUUGAUAGUACCGGAAGAGGAAGAGACGGCUAACUCUGUGCCAGCAGCCGCGGUAAUACAGAGGUCUCAAGCGUUGUUCGGAUUUAUUGGGCGUAAAGGGUGCGCAGGCUGUGUGGUAAGUUUGGUGUGAAAUCCUGGGGCUCAACCCCAGAAUUGCACUGAAUACUGCCAUGCUAGAGGACUGGAGAGGAGAUUGGAAUUCACGGUGUAGCAGUGAAAUGCGUAGAUAUCGUGAGGAAGACCAGUGGCGAAGGCGAAUCUCUGGACAGUUCCUGACGCUCAUGCACGAAGGCCAGGGGAGCAAACGGG
rnacentral:rRNA from 1 species